GUGAGAUAUUAAGAGGGGGUCCUUUAGAUUUUGCUGAUCAGGGAGGCUUCUCUGAUGGGGUGGGACUGGUGAACCCAAGACCUGAGGAUACAACUGGGAAAGAGGAUUCCAAGCCAGGAGGGCAGUAAAGACCUGAGGUUUGAGAGGGACUUUUGUGGAUGGUAGAUAAAGCACUUGACUUGGAGUCAGCUAGACCUGAGUUCAAGACCUGCUUCUGCCACUUGUUAGUUUUGUGACUUACUUACUGUGGAAUACUGAUGUGAUGACUGGAGCGGAGCAGCCAGCUAAAACCGUGAAGCAUACUGGGAAUGAUUCGUGCAGAGCAUGAAUAUCUUGCAGAGCAGAAAGAUAGGAGUCUGGGUCCCUGAGGCCUGUCAGGAGCUCUGAUACAGACCCACAGCAUCCGUCUGGGAUUACUGCACUGGUCCCAUGGAACUUUGGCAGCAAGAGGACCCAGUGCAAACAAGAACCCCAUGCAGCCCACUCUGCUGUGAGAAAUAAAACUCCC
ensembl:lncRNA